CACGGGGGGAGCAAGCGUUGUUCGGAAUCACUGGGCGUAAAGGGCGUGUAGGCGGUCAGGUAAGUGAGAUGUGAAAUGCCCCGGCUCACCCGGGGACCGGCAUCUCAUACUGCUUGGCUUGAGUACGGGAGAGGAUGUGGGAAUUCCUGGUGUAGCGGUGAAAUGCGUAGAUAUCAGGAGGAACACCGGUGGCGAAGGCGGCGAUCUGGGUAGAUACUGACGCUGAGGUGCGAAAGCGUGGGGAGCAAACAGG
rnacentral:rRNA from 1 species